rnacentral:rRNA from 1 species
AAGUCGUAACAAGGUUUCCGUAGGUGAACCUGCGGAAGGAUCAUUACUGUGCCUUCGGGGGCAAGCUUUCCCUCUGGACAGCUGGAACGGCGCCUUGGCGGCCCGUUCGGGCUGGCGGCGGCGGGUUGGGGAGCCCAGUGGGCUCCCGAGCCGGCACGUCGAUCGAGCUUGCCCUGUCUGAACACCUCCCUUGCUUUUUGCGUACCCCCCGUUUCCUCGGCAGGCUGGCCUGUCCGCAGGACCUUUUUAAACCCGUUGCACUGUCGUCUGCGUCGGAUUUGUAUCAAUGGUUACAACUUUCAACAACGGAUCUCUUGGUUCUGGCAUCGAUGAAGAACGCAGCGAAAUGCGAUAAGUAGUGUGAAUUGCAGAAUUCAGUGAAUCAUCGAAUCUUUGAACGCACAUUGCGCCCGUUGGCAUUCCAACGGGCAUGCCUGUUCGAGCGUCAUUGGCUUCUCCAGCAUUGCUGGGUGCUGGGCGAGUGGGGCGCCGCGCGCGUCCCUCGCCUCAAAUGCAUUGGCCGCCCGCCGUCCCGGGAAGGAGCGCAGCACAGUCCGCGCGCCUCGCCGGGGGGCGGUGUCCACAAGUGGCUUCUACGCUUGACCUCGGAUCAGGUAGGGAUACCCGCUGAACUUAA